ensembl:lncRNA
AUGUCACAGAUGAGUGUGCAUGUGAAUUUUUUUCAGAGAAUAAACCACCAUAUUUUAUGUUCAUUUGACAUUUUUUGUAGGCUUACCAGCAGGGCCGUGCACAGGGUGGCUAGAGCCACUGAUCCUUUGCCCUCAUCGGCUGAGGUGCCCAUCUCACCAAUCACCCCAGCUCAAAGCUGUCUGUUACCGCUCCCCGAUAGAUCCGCUGAUUCCGCUAAUCCGCUCUGUGUUUCCCGCCCGCUCCGUAGCAUGACUCACAAUCUGUGUGCCGUUCUCUGGAGAGUGGAGACCACAGUUCCCGAAACUCAUUGCAUUACCAGCAGAAACAGGCCUCCGAAGAACAGUGAGACAAACAAGAGAAACAUGAACAACUAUAAAGUUUUACAAUACAUCCAGCUCCCCUUGAGUGUGCAGGGGUCCUGAUGCCAUACAGGGUAAAAACAUUGUGUUAAGCUGUGGGAUCGUUUCACAGCCACGGUGCUUCUUAUUUACACUCUAUCCAGCACUGCUGUGAGUACAACCGAGCGCAGAAACAAAGCGGAGCUCGACUGGUGCUGGAGUUCAUCCGUCUGCGAGAACAAACAGAAAUUAAAGUAUCCCACGUCUCCAUAUCCUCUGCCCUGGUUUGUGUUGGGCAGCUGCCAACACAGCGAGGGAGAAUAAUAGAGUGAAGUAUUUCUUUAAUGUGUAGAGUGUUAACAUUUACUCUCUUUUAACCAUCUCUGGCACACAAGGGAUCCUAAAUGCUGGAAAUACAGAGGUUUUGUUCUUUCCUUCAGGGAAAAUGUAACUUUCUCGAUGAAAGGUUAUCAUCAAAGUUUAAUAUGUUGUGGGUUUUAAAUAUCUUACACAGUUGUGUUUCAUUGGUCCGAAAUCCUACUGCGUUUAACUAUUUGAUAGGUUCUGAUUGGCUUUGAAUGUGCCUAUCAUGUAACACUUUUGUUUUGAUUAUUGGUGUGCAAGUGAUGUAAUGCUACAUUUCUCCAAAUCUGUUCUGAUGAAGAAACAAACUCAUCUAAUGUACAUCUUGGAUGGCCUGAGGGUAGAGAAAUUUUGGUUGCACUUUAUUUUACAGUAUGUGUACUUACAUUUACUUAUAGUGUACUUACAGUGUAUUUAUCUAAGAAAGUUCUGGUAAUAUAAGGUAACUACAUGGGGUAGGGUUAGGUUUAGGGGUAGGUUCAGGGUUAGUACCUAGUUAUUACAUAGUAAUUGUAAUUACUAUAAUAAGUACAUAGUAUGUACAUGAGUAACAGGACUGUAAAAUAAAGUGCUACCGAAAUUUUUUAUCA